UACAGAGGGUGCAAGCGUUGUUCGGAAUUAUUGGGCGUAAAGCGCGUGUAGGCGGCUUUGCAAGUCGGGUGUGAAAGCCCUCAGCUCAACUGAGGAAGUGCGCCCGAAACUGCAGAGCUUGAGUACCGGAGAGGGUGGCGGAAUUCCCCAAGUAGAGGUGAAAUUCGUAGGUAUGGGGAGGAACACCGUGGCGAAGGCGGCCACCUGGACGGUAACUGACGCUGAGACGCGAAAGCGUGGGAGCAAACAGG
rnacentral:rRNA from 1 species